rfam:Lepisosteus oculatus linkage group LG3, whole genome shotgun sequence.
UGGAAGCUGGUUUCAGGUGGUGGCUUAGAGUGCUUCAUGUUUUUCAUCUAGCACCAUUUGAAAUCAGUGUUCU